rnacentral:rRNA from 1 species
CCUACGGGUGGCAGCAGUGGGGAAUAUUGCACAAUGGGGGAAACCCUGAUGCAGCAACGCCGCGUGAGUGAAGAAGUAUUUCGGUAUGUAAAACUCUGUCAGCAGGGAAGAAAAAAGACGGUACCUAACUAAGAAGCCCCGGCUAACUACGUGCCAGCAGCCGCGGUAAGACGUAGGUGGGAAGCGUUGUCCGGAUUUACUGGGUGUAAAGCGAGCGUAGACGGUAUGGUAAGUCUGAAGUGAAAGCCCCGGGCUUAACCGUGGGACUGCUUUGGAAACUGUUAGACUAGAGUGCUGGAGAGGUAAGUGGAAUUCCAAGUGUAGCGGUGAAAUGCGUAGAUAUAAGGAGGAACACCAGUGGCGAAGGCGGCUCACUGGACAGUAACUGACGUUGAGGCUCGAAAGCGUGGGGAGCAAACAGGAUUAGAUACCCCAGUAGUC